GAUGAACGCUGGCGGCGUGCCUAAUACAUGCAAGUCGAACGCAUUGAGAGAAGUGCUUGCACUUUUCAAUUUGAGUGGCGAACGGGUGAGUAACACGUGGGCAACCUACCUGAUAGCGGGGGAUAACGAGUGGAAACAUUCGCUAAUACCGCAUAACAAUAGAGAAGGCAUCUUCUUUAUUUAAAAGGCGCUUUCAAGCGUCACUAUCAGAUGGGCCCGCGGUACAUUAGUUAGUUGGUGGGGUGAAGGCCUACCAAGACGAUGAUGCAUAGCCAGGUUGAGAAGGUGAUCGGGGAGAGUGGGACGGAGACACAGCACAAGCUCAUAAGGGGGGCUGCAGUGGAGAAUCUUCCACAAUGGACUGAAUUCUGAUGGAGCAACGCCGGGUAUGUGAUGAAGGCUUUCAGAUCGUAAAGCACUGGUGUAUGGUAAGAAAUGCUAUGCUAGUAAAUGAGCGUAGUUUGACGGUAGCAUACCAGAAAGGAACGGCUAAAUACGUGCCAGCCGCCGCAGUAA
rnacentral:rRNA from 1 species